CCUACGGGAGGCAGCAGUGAGGAAUAUUGGACAAUGGGCGCAAGCCUGAUCCAGCCAUGCCGCGUGCAGGAAGAAGCAUCUAUGGUGUGUAAACUGCUUUUGUACAGGAAGAAACACUCCCUCGUGAGGGAGCUUGACGGUACUGUAAGAAUAAGGACCGGCUAACUCCGUGCCAGCAGCCGCGGUAAUACGGAGGGUCCGAGCGUUAUCCGGAAUCAUUGGGUUUAAAGGGUCCGUAGGCGGUUUAAUAAGUCAGUGGUGAAAUCUGGUCGCUCAACGAUCAAACGGCCAUUGAUACUGUUAGACUUGAAUUAUAAGGAAGUAACUAGAAUAUGUAGUGUAGCGGUGAAAUGCUUAGAUAUUACAUGGAAUACCAAUUGCGAAGGCAGGUUACUACUUAUGGAUUGACGCUGAUGGACGAAAGCGUGGGGAGCGAACAGGAUUAGAUACCCUGGUAGUCCACGCCGUAAACGAUGGAUACUAGCUGUUCGGAGCAAUCUGAGUGGCUAAGCGAAAGUGAUAAGUAUCCACCUGGGGAGUAACGUUGCAAGAAUGAAACUUCAAAGGAAUUGACGG
rnacentral:rRNA from 1 species